rnacentral:lncRNA from 1 species
CAAGGCAGUUGUGAUGUCUAUAGAGAUUGGAUAAUUGUUUGAGAACUCUUAUGCGCUGCAGACAAAGAAUAUAUGGAAUUUGUUUCUAAAUGGCAAAUUAUGUUUCUCACACCAACAGAAGCACAUUUACUGAUGCCAUGGGAAACAGAAUAUAAAUAAGUAUAAAUAUGUACAAAUAAAAUAUUUAAAAAAGGUGAAGAAAACCAAUGUGUGUUGGGAAGAAAAGAGACUUCAGUCCUACCACCAGUGAGCAGUAAUCAAGAGGCCAAUGGAGAAGAAAGAGGCAACCAGAGCAACAAUCUUCAGCAAUCAGAUUCCCUUCCUUCUCUUCUUUAGUUCUUCUUCCAGAGUCAUUCUUAUCCACCCAUUUCCCUCUUUGGCUCAUAAACUAUGGCAAAUGUUGUUCAACAGUUCCUACAGUUAACUAUAAGAACAUCAAAGCAUUGUGCCAUCAGUUACAAAGGACUUCACUGACCACUGCAUGGGGGAUCCAGACCAAUCCAGUUAAUGUCUUCAUAUUGAAGAAGAGUUGUACCUUCAAUAGAAAAUCCUGUUUUUUCUUUUGCUUGCAUUUUUUUGCAAAAGGGAAAACGAUAUCCUCAUGGGGAAAAAAGAGGGAAAAAAGAUGUUCCCGCAAGUGUGUGCGUGUCGUCUGUAUGUCAGCUUAACUGUGGAGUCAUUCACAGCCUAUAUCCAUAAUAGAAGAAAAAACAACCAAGCUGGACUGGUGGCUGAUGAUUCCAUCCUUUUCAAGGAACUUGGGGAUCCUUUGGGAGACGGAUCUUUUUAUGCCUUUAUUUGAUGUCAGAAGUAUAUGGAAAGAUGCCACUCCAGACAGUCAAGCUUACCACUGCAGUCCCGUACUCCAUUUUCAUUGGCAAGGUAGCCACGAUGCUCUGCGAAUGAGCUGUGAUCUCCUGGAGAUGCUGUCAGGCUCUUGUGUAAAGGACAUGCUCUGGCCUGAAGAACAAAGACAACAGGAGCCAACCUCCGGUCACAUGCACUGUUCCAGCCAAAAGAGGUCCUGUCAUGUACAUAGCCAAUGAGAUAUCCGUAAAGGAUUGCAUCCCCUUGUACAUUGCCCCCUUUCUCUUUCAACUCAUUGAUUGUGUCAAAAUUGUCCACGUUUGUAAUAGUAACUUUCAAAAACUAUUGUACUAAAAAUAAAA